UACGUAGGGUCCGAGCGUUGUCCGGAAUUAUUGGGCGUAAAGAGCUCGUAGGCGGUUUGUCGCGUCUGCUGUGAAAUCCCGAGGCUCAACCUCGGGCCUGCAGUGGGUACGGGCAGACUGGAGUGCGGUAGGGGAGAUCGGAAUUCCUGGUGUAGCGGUGAAAUGCGCAGAUAUCAGGAGGAACACCGGUGGCGAAGGCUGAUCUCUGGGCCGUAACUGACGCUGAGGAGCGAAAGCAUGGGGAGCGAACAGG
rnacentral:rRNA from 1 species